ACGAACGCUGGCGGCGUGCUUCACACAUGCAAGUCGAACGGAAAGGCCCUGCUUUUGUGGGGUGCUCGAGUGGCGAACGGGUGAGUAACACGUGAGUAACCUGCCCUUGACUUUGGGAUAACUUCAGGAAACUGGGGCUAAUACCGGAUAGGAGCUCCUGCUGCAUGGUGGGGGUUGGAAAGUUUCGGCGGUUGGGGAUGGACUCGCGGCUUAUCAGCUUGUUGGUGGGGUAGUGGCUUACCAAGGCUUUGACGGGUAGCCGGCCUGAGAGGGUGACCGGCCCAAUGGGGACUGAGAAACGGCCCAGACCCCUACGGGGGGGAGCAGGGGGGAAUUUUGCAAAAGGGGCGGAAGCCGGAUGCAGCAACCCCGGGUGGGGGAUGACGGCCUUCGGGUUGUAAACCCCUUUCGCCUGGGACGAAGCGUGGGUGACGGUAAUGGGUAAAGAAGCACCGGCUACCUCCGU
rnacentral:rRNA from 1 species